UACGUAGGGUGCGAGCGUUGUCCGGAAUUACUGGGCGUAAAGAGCUCGUAGGUGGUUUGUCGCGUUGUUCGUGAAAACUCACAGCUUAACUGUGGGCGUGCGGGCGAUACGGGCAGACUAGAGUACUGCAGGGGAGACUGGAAUUCCUGGUGUAGCGGUGGAAUGCGCAGAUAUCAGGAGGAACACCGGUGGGCGAAGGCGGUGAGCUGGGCAGUUGCUGACACUGAGGCGCGACAGCGUGGGGAGCAAACAGG
rnacentral:rRNA from 1 species